rnacentral:lncRNA from 1 species
AGCAACCGAAACUCAGAUAUGCUUAGCUUCUUCCAAUCUCAGUUCAAGACACGAAAUUCAAGCCAAAAGAAGCAUAAUAUUUACACGAGCUGAUAGAAUGAAGUCCCACGCACAUAACUUGUGGAAGAGUCACCUAACAGUGCAUCGUGUACUGUCACAUUUAUGCCACAGCAACUUUCUCAUGGGAAGAUCCUGUGCAGAACCAGAGGCUGCCCCUGACUCCGGGAGCAGGAAGAAUUAGAUGACAUAGUUCCAGUAGAUUCCCAUACAGAGCGCAGCACACAGGCCAGAAAGAUGCCUCAGCAGAUAAAGGCACUUGCUAUGCCAGACUCCAAACCUGAAUUUGACUCCUGGAGCCCAUGUAAAGACGGGAGAACCAACUUCACAAAAUUGUGCUUGGUCGUGCACAUCCAUGUCUAGCACAUGUGAACCCAGGAAACUGCUAUAGUCAUGGUCUCUUCAGAGCAAUGGAACACUGACUAAGACAACACCUAUCAUGGGAAUGAGUCUGAUCUGCUGGCUUUGGAAUACGAAGGAAGGGGUGAGCCGGGCUUCUGCCACACCUUCCCCUUCUCUGGUCUCGUCACAUGUCCUUGUGUUCCUGAGGUGUCACCACAGCUGACCAGAUGCUGGCUCCAUGCUCUUGAGUCUCUGUAACUAUGAGCAGAAUAAACCUUUCUUUAUAG